GAUGAACGCUGGCGGCGUGCCUUAAGCAUGCAAGUCGAACGGAAUGGUAGCAAUACUGUUCAGUGGCGGACGGGUGAGUAACGCGUAGGAAUCUACCUCUAGGUGGACCAUAGCCUUCCGAAAGGAUGGGUAAUAGUCCAUAGUCAAUUUAUUGUAAAGCAUUAACUUUGCGCCAAGAGAUGAGCCUGCGUCCUAUCAGCUAGUUGGUGAGGUAAAAGCUUACCAAGGCGAUGACGGGUAGCUGGACUGAGAGGUCGAUCAGCCACAACUGCACUGAGACACGGGCAGUACACCUACGGGUGGCAGCAACUGGGAAUAUUGCGCAAUGGACGAAAGUCUGACGCAGCGACGCCGCGUGGAGGAAGACGGCCUUCGGGUUGUAAACUCCUUUUGAUAAGCCCUUCACGGCUUAUAGAAUAAGCACCUACUAACUACGUGCCAGAAGUCUCGGUAAUACGUAGGGUGCAAGCGUUAUCCGGACUCAUUGGGCGUAAAGUGUGCGUAGGCUCAUCGAAAAGUCGUAUCUUAAAGACUAAGGCUUACCCUUGGAAGUGGAUACGAUACUU
rnacentral:rRNA from 1 species